CCCUCAACUGCUCAGCUGGAUAAAAGCAUCAGGGGCAUGGUCAAGCGUCGGUUUGUGACCGGAGGGCGGAGUCAGGGAAGAUAGACAUGUCGGACAGAGGGCUGG